UUAAUGGAGAGUUUGAUCCUGGCUCAGGACGAACGCUGGCGGCGUGCCUAAUACAUGCAAGUCGAGCGGGGUUAGUUAGAAGCUUGCUUCUAACUAACCUAGCGGCGGACGGGUGAGUAACACGUAGGCAACCUGCCCACAAGACAGGGAUAACUACCGGAAACGGUAGCUAAUACCCGAUACA
rnacentral:rRNA from 1 species